UCUUUGGUUACCUAGCUGUAUGAGUGAUCGCCGAGCCUAUCAUAAAGCUAGAUAACCGAAAGUA
rnacentral:pre_miRNA from 1 species